CGGGGGAAUCGACCCCCUCGGUGUCGUAGCUAACGCGUUAAGUGUUCCGCCUGGGGAGUACGCACGCAAGUGUGAAACUCAAAGGAAUUGACGGGGGCCCGCACAAGCGGUGGAGUAUGUGGUUUAAUUCGAUGCAACGCGAAGAACCUUACCAGGGUUUGACAUCCUGCGAAUCCCUUGGAAACUUGGGAGUGCCUUCGGGAGCGCAGAGACAGGUGGUGCAUGGCUGUCGUCAGCUCGUGUCGUGAGAUGUUGGGUUAAGUCCCGCAACGAGCGCAACCCACGUCUUUAGUUGCCAGCAUUUAGUUGGGCACUCUAGAGAGACCGCCGGUGAUAAACCGGAGGAAGGUGUGGAUGACGUCAAGUCAUCAUGCCCCUUACAUCCUGGGCUACACACGUACUACAAUGCUACGGACAAAGGGUUGCAAACUCGCGAGAGCUAGCUAAUCCCAUAAACCGUGGCUCAGUUCAGAUCGUAGGCUGCAACUCGCCUACGUGAAGGAGGAAUCGCUAGUAAUCGCAGGUCAGCAUACUGCGGUGAAUACGUUCCCGGGCAUUGUACACACCGCCCGUCACACCAUGGAAGUUGGCCACGCCCGAAGUCGUUACUCCAAC
rnacentral:rRNA from 1 species